CGUGGUGAAUGAUGUGGUGAGGCAUCCCGGCAAUUUUCAACAGGAAUACUUCAAGGCAGCUUUUCAAGGUUUCUUUGAGAACUUUCCAAGUCUCCAGGAAUUUUAAGCGCCAAGGUUUCUUAGCCUUCCGAAUGGCAGUGUUUCUAUCUAAGCUGGCAGCCUUUAAACCCAAACCCAAAACGAAGCUUGCUCAUCUCAGUGGAGGAAGAAAAGCUUGAUGUCUGUGCCAAGGGAGACGUACACCGCACUUGCGCUGCCUGGACGAUGUGGAAACUGGAAAUUGUGGGGUGUGCUGAAGCAUGCCCUCUCAGGCGACAUCUGCACUCUGCUCAGUCCAAGGAGAAUCCCUGCCCGCAGAUGCAAUGACACAGCAUGGCUCACCA